rnacentral:rRNA from 1 species
AUUGAACGCUGGCGGCAGGCCUAACACAUGCAAGUCGAACGAGUGGCGGACGGGUGAGUAAUGUCUGGGAAACUGCCCGAUGGAGGGGGAUAACUACUGGAAACGGUAGCUAAUACCGCAUACCAUCAGAUGUGCCCAGAUGGGAUUGGCUAGUCGGUGGGGUAACGGCUCACCUAGGCGACGAUCCCUAGCUGGUCUGUGAGGAUGACCAGCCACAGUGGAACUGAGACCCGGUCCAGAGUCCUACGGGAGGCAGCAGUGGGGAAUAUUGCACAAUGGGCGCAAGCCUGAUGCAGCCAUGCCGCGUGUAUGAAGAAGGCCUUCGGGUUGUAAAGUACGUUCAGCGGGGAGGCGUUACCCGCAGAAGAAGCACCGGCUAACUCCGUGCCAGCAGCCGCGGUAAUAC